GGUUAAGUGACUAAGCGUACACGGUGGAUGCCUAGGCAGUCAGAGGCGAUGAAGGGCGUGCUAAUCUGCGAAAAGCGUCGGUAAGGUGAUAUGAACCGUUAUAACCGGCGAUACCCGAAUGGGGAAACCCAGUGUGUUUCGACACACUAUCAUGUCAUGAAUACAUAGUGGCAUGAGGCGAACCGGGGGAACUGAAACAUCUAAGUACCCCGAGGAAAAGAAAUCAACCGAGAUUCCCCCAGUAGCGGCGAGCGAACGGGGAGGAGCCCAGAACCUGAAUCGGCUUGUGUGUUAGUGGAAGCGUCUGGAAAGUCGCGCAGCAAAGGGUGAUAGCCCCGUACACUAAAAUGCACAGGUCGUGAGUUCGAUGAGUAGGGCGGGACACGUGACAUCCUGUCUGAAUAUGGGGGGACCAUCCUCCAAGGCUAAAUACUCCUGACUGACCGAUAGUGAACCAGUACCGUGAGGGAAAGGCGAAAAGAACCCCGGCGAGGGGAGUGAAAUAGAACCUGAAACCGUGUACGUACAAGCAGUGGGAGCACCUUCGUGGUGUGACUGCGUACCUUUUGUAUAAUGGGUCAGCGACUUAUAUUUUGUAGCAAGGUUAACCGUAUAGGGGAGCCGUAGGGAAACCGAGUCUUAACUGGGCGACUAGUUGCAAGGUAUAGACCCGAAACCCGGUGAUCUAGCCAUGGGCAGGUUGAAGGUUGGGUAACACUAACUGGAGGACCGAACCGACUAAUGUUGAAAAAUUAGCGGAUGACUUGUGGCUGGGGGUGAAAGGCCAAUCAAACCGGGAGAUAGCUGGUUCUCCCCGAAAGCUAUUUAGGUAGCGCCUCGUGAACUCAUCUUCGGGGGUAGAGCACUGUUUCGGCUAGGGGGCCAUCCCGGCUUACCAAACCGAUGCAAACUCCGAAUACCGAAGAAUGUUAUCACGGGAGACACACGGCGGGUGCUAACGUCCGUCGUGAAGAGGGAAACAACCCAGACCGCCAGCUAAGGUCCCAAAGUCAUGGUUAAGUGGGAAACGAUGUGGGAAGGCAUAGACAGCCAGGAUGUUGGCUUAGAAGCAGCCAUCAUUUAAAGAAAGCGUAAUAGCUCACUGGUCGAGUCGGCCUGCGCGGAAGAUGUAACGGGGCUAAACCAUGCACCGAAGCUGCGGCAGCGACGCUUAGGCGUUGUUGGGUAGGGGAGCGUUCUGUAAGCCGUUGAAGGUGGCCUGUGAGGGUUGCUGGAGGUAUCAGAAGUGCGAAUGCUGACAUAAGUAACGAUAAAGCGGGUGAAAAGCCCGCUCGCCGGAAGACCAAGGGUUCCUGUCCAACGUUAAUCGGGGCAGGGUGAGUCGACCCCUAAGGCGAGGCUGAAAAGCGUAGUCGAUGGGAAACAGGUUAAUAUUCCUGUACUUGGUGUUACUGCGAAGGGGGGACGGAGAAGGCUAGGCUAGCCGGGCGACGGUUGUCCCGGUUUAAGCGUGUAGGGGGUGUGACCUGGUAAAUCCGGUUGCAUAUCAACCCUGAGGCGUGAUGACGAUGCACUACGGUGCAGAAGUAGUUGAUGCCCUGCUUCCAGGAAAAUCCUCUAAGCUCCAGGUAACAUUAAAUCGUACCCCAAACCGACACAGGUGGUCAGGUAGAGAAUACCAAGGCGCUUGAGAGAACUCGGGUGAAGGAACUAGGCAAAAUGGUGCCGUAACUUCGGGAGAAGGCACGCUGGCAUGUAGGUGAAGUCCCUUGCGGAUGGAGCUGAAGCCAGUCGAAGAUACCAGCUGGCUGCAACUGUUUAAUAAAAACACAGCACUGUGCAAACACGAAAGUGGACGUAUACGGUGUGACGCCUGCCCGGUGCUGGAAGGUUAAUUGAUGGGGUCAGCCGCAAGGCGAAGCUCUUGAUCGAAGCCCCAGUAAACGGCGGCCGUAACUAUAACGGUCCUAAGGUAGCGAAAUUCCUUGUCGGGUAAGUUCCGACCUGCACGAAUGGCGUAAUGAUGGCCAGGCUGUCUCCACCCGAGACUCAGUGAAAUUGAACUCGCUGUGAAGAUGCAGUGUACCCGCGGCAAGACGGAAAGACCCCGUGAACCUUUACUAUAGCUUGACACUGAACAUUGAGCCUUGAUGUGUAGGAUAGGUGGGAGGCUUUGAAGCGUGGACGCCAGUCUGCGUGGAGCCAUCCUUGAAAUACCACCCUUUAAUGUUUGAUGUUCUAACUCGGCCCCAUAAUCUGGGGUGAGGACAGUGUCUGGUGGGUAGUUUGACUGGGGCGGUCUCCUCCCAAAGAGUAACGGAGGAGCACGAAGGUUAGCUAAUCACGGUCGGACAUCGUGAGGUUAGUGCAAAGGCAUAAGCUAGCUUGACUGCGAGAGUGACGGCUCGAGCAGGUACGAAAGUAGGUCUUAGUGAUCCGGUGGUUCUGAAUGGAAGGGCCAUCGCUCAACGGAUAAAAGGUACUCCGGGGAUAACAGGCUGAUACCGCCCAAGAGUUCAUAUCGACGGCGGUGUUUGGCACCUCGAUGUCGGCUCAUCACAUCCUGGGGCUGAAGUAGGUCCCAAGGGUAUGGCUGUUCGCCAUUUAAAGUGGUACGCGAGCUGGGUUUAGAACGUCGUGAGACAGUUCGGUCCCUAUCUGCCGUGGGCGUUGGAAGAUUGAGAGGGGUUGCUCCUAGUACGAGAGGACCGGAGUGAACGCACCACUGGUGUUCGGGUUGUCAUGCCAAUGGCAUUGCCCGGUAGCUAAGUGCGGAAAAGAUAAGCGCUGAAAGCAUCUAAGCGCGAAACUUGCCUCAAGAUGAGUCUUCCCUGGGCCUUUAAGGCCCCUGAAGGAACGUUUAAGACUAAGACGUUGAUAGGCUGGGUGUGUAAGUGCAGCGAUGCAUUGAGCUAACCAGUACUAAUGAUCCGUGAGGCUUAACCUU
rnacentral:rRNA from 1 species